rnacentral:lncRNA from 1 species
AAACGUGAUUGAUUUUAUUCCUCUAAUAUCUAUGAGAUCAAAUUUAUAAAACAUCUAUUAAUAUAAUUAAUUUCAAUGUACUAGUAGUAUACAUGUAAGAAUUGUUGCCAUUUAUACAUCAUGUACAAUCAUUAGCUGAUCAGCUCUAUAUUUUCUUUAUUUUUAUUCUCCUUCACUGUUUUAUUUAUAAGAGUAGACUCAUAUAUAUAUGAUCUGUAUUCAUCAUUGGGACAGGUAGCUAUAUAUAUAGGUGAAGUAGGUCCUUUUGAUUUGAUUUUUUUAAAGGAUUUUGACAGCACUAAAGCAUAUACAUGUAGUUCCAAUUUAUAGUUGAUCUUAGCUCCUUAAGUGGAU